ACAAGGUUAGCGGCGGACGGGUGAGUAACACGUAGGCAACCUGCCUACAAGAUCGGGAUAACAUUCGGAAACGGAUGCUAAUACCGGAUACACAGUUUGGCUGCAUGGGUGAACUGGGAAAGGCGGAGCAAUCUGCCGCUUGUAGAUGGGCCUGCGGCGCUUUAGCUAGUUGGUGAGGUAACGGCUCACCAAGGCGACGAUGCGUAGCCGACCUGAGAGGGUGAUCGGCCACCCUGUUACUGAGACACGGGCCAGACUCCUACGGGAGGGAGCAGUAGGGAGUCUUCCGCAAUGCACGAAAGACUGACGGAGCGACGCCGCGUGAGUAAUGUAGGUUCUCGAAUCGUAAAGCUCUGUUGCCAGGGAAGAACAGCGAGGCGAGUACCUGCGCUUCGAGUGACGGACCCUGAAAAGAAAGCCCCGUUUAACUACGUUCUCAGCAGCCGC
rnacentral:rRNA from 1 species